rnacentral:rRNA from 1 species
GAUGAACGCUGGCGGCGUGCCUAAUACAUGCAAGUCGAGCGAACAGACGAGGAGCUUGCUCCUCUGACGUUAGCGGCGGACGGGUGAGUAACACGUGGAUAACCUACCUAUAAGACUGGGAUAACUUCGGGAAACCGGAGCUAAUACCGGAUAAUAUAUUGAACCGCAUGGUUCAAUAGUGAAAGACGGUUUUGCUGUCACUUAUAGAUGGAUCCGCGCCGCAUUAGCUAGUUGGUAAGGUAACGGCUUAACAAGGCGACGAUGCGUAGCCGACCUGAGAGGGUGAUCGGCCACACUGGAACUGAGACACGGUCCAGACUCCUACGGGAGGCAGCAGUAGGGAAUCUUCCGCAAUGGGCGAAAGCCUGACGGAGCAACGCCGCGUGAGUGAUGAAGGUCUUCGGAUCGUAAAACUCUGUUAUUAGGGAAGAACAAAUGUGUAAGUAACUAUGCACGUCUUGACGGUACCUAAUCAGAAAGCCACGGCUAACUCCGUG